AUGAUGUCACUUGCAUUGAAGUGUAAAACUUCGAAGGAGGUUCUUACAUAUCUGAACGUUGGUAUUGAUAAGUUGGCUUUGGAAGCACAUGAAUUAUUUGGCAAUCUAAACUUAGAUGAGAAUGAUGAUUCUGAAAGUUCCUCCGAAAUGAAUGAAUAUGUUGCCAAGACAAUGGUGCUAUUCAAAGCUCCUGAACGAAUAAAAGGUCCAAUGAAAAAAAGAUCAAAAGAUGUUCUAGAGGGAGCAAAGAAAGGGAAAAAGAAAGGAAAAGGUACAAACCAUCCAGCAAAGGAGUCGGUGCUUGUUCCACCUACAAUUGGCCCUUCAGAAUUCGCCGGUGCCAGUACUAUAUGUCCGCCUGUAGCCAUGGCAUUUGGAGAGUGCCCACUAGUUUCUGUUCCACCUAUUCAAGGAGAAUUUACAAGAUUAUUGCUUGAAGCUCAUGGAGAUGGCACAACAUUGCCGGCUGCUCGUCAAUUAGAUUUCAGCGAAGAUGCUAGCACAUCAAGGUUUCAGCAGUGA
rnacentral:rRNA from 1 species